UCCCACGGAACACCCGAGCAAUGCCACC
rnacentral:rasiRNA from 1 species